rfam:Penicillium camemberti str. FM013
CUCCUCAACCUGCUGCGGACAGAUAAAGUGAACAUGGGUAUCGAUACCACCAGCAGUGACGAUUUUCCCCUCUGCAGCAAUGAUGUCCGUAUUGGAUCCAAUCACCAGAGCCGGGUUCACAUUAUCCAUCACAUCGGGAUUACCAGCCUUCCCGAUCCCCACAAUGACCCCAUCUUUCACUCCAACAUCAGCUUUAAAGAUACCAGUCCAGUCAAUGACCAAUGCAUUGACCAAAACCAGAUCCGCACACUCAUCAUCUGCACGCCCAGCAGCUUGUCCGAUUCCGUCGCGCAAAG